UAUACAGAGGGUGCGAGCGUUAUCGGAUUUACUGGGCGUAAAGCGUGCGUAGCGGCUUUUUAAGUCGGGUGUGAAAUCCCUGAGCUUAACUUAGGAAUUGCAUUCGAUACUGGAAAGCUAGAGUAUGGGAGAGGAUGGUAGAAUUCCAGGUGUAGCGGUGAAAUGCGUAGAGAUCUGGAGGAAUACCGAUGGCGAAGGCAGCCAUCUGGCCUAAUACUGACGCUGAGGUACGAAAGCAUGGGGAGCAAACAGGAUUAGAUACCCUGGUAGUCCAUGCCGUAAACGAUGUCUACUAGCCGUUGGGGCCUUUGAGGCUUUAGUGGCGCAGCUAACGCGAUAAGUAGACCGCCUGGGGAGUACGGUCGCAAGACUAAAACUCAAAUGAAUUGACGGGGGCCCGCACAAGCGGUGGAGCAUGUGGUUUAAUUCGAUGCAACGCGAAGAACCUUACCUGGCCUUGACAUACUAAGAACUUUCCAGAGAUGGAUUGGUGCCUUCGGGAACUUAGAUACACGUGCUGCAUGGCUGUCGUCAGCUCGUGUCGUGAGAUGUUGGGU
rnacentral:rRNA from 1 species